rnacentral:lncRNA from 1 species
CAGGGGUGAGUUCUCAUAGGAUCAACUACAACUUCAAUUGAGUCUUUUGGCAAUUGAAUGAUGAGACGAUAUUGCGUUCCUCCCGGCCAGAGUCGUCGAUCGAUCACUCUAAGCUGAACUGAUUCUUACUACGUCAUAUGUUAGACCAAUACCUUAAUUGAUUAAUCUAGAUGAGGGGUGAGUUAUCAUAGGGUCAACUGGUACUUCAAUUGUGUCUUUUGACAAUUGAAUAAUGAGAUGGUAUUGCUUUCCUCCCGGC